AACAAAUAUAUUUAUAAUAAAUUUAUAUUUGUAAAUCAAUUUAAUAAAACAGAUUUUUAAAACAAUGAUUUAAGUUUAAAUAAUUUUUUAAAAAACUUAGUUAAACAGUAUUGAAAAAUAAACAAAUUAAUAAAUUAGUAAAUUAAUUAAAUUGUACCUUGUGUAUCAUGAUAUAUAGAACUAAAAUACUAAUUUUAAAUCUCGAAAAAAAAGGAUCUAAAUUAGAUUUUGAUUAAUAUUACAAAAUUAUAAAAAAAAAAAUUUAGAAAUAAAAUAUUUUCAUCUUUUUUGAUAUCUAGUUUUUUAAGAAAGAAAUUCAAUUUCUUAAGUGAUAAAAAAAAUUACCUAAAAAAUUUUUAAGGGAUUAGCUUUAAAAAAUAAAAUGAUUAAAAAAAAAUUAAAUAAAAAGGAAUUAAAUUAACCAUCAACUUAAUAGUUUAUAAUUUUUUAAUAAAAUUUUAUAUUAAUCAAAAAUUUAUUAAAAUUUAAUUAACUUAAACCAAAAAUAAAAAUUAUAUAAUUAGUAAAUAUAAAAAAAAAAAUUCAGGAACUCGGCAAAUAAUUUUUUCGAAUGUUUAACAAAAACAUUGUCUCUAGAAUUUAUUUGAGAUAAAGCCUGCUCAGUGAAAAUUAAACAGCCAUUAAUAUGCUAAGGUAGCAUAAUAAUUUGUCUCCUAAUUAGAGGCUUGAAUGAACGGUAAAACGAAAAAAAGUCUUUCUUAAUUAAAAAUUUAAAUUAACAUUUAAGUUAAAAGGCUUAAAUAAAAUAAAAGGACGACAAGACCCUAUAGAACUUAUUAAACAAAUAAUAUUAAAAAAUAGGUAAAUUUAGCUGGGGCAGCUAAAAAACAAAAAUUUUUAAAUUUUUAAACAAUUUAAAGAAAUAAUUAAUCCUUAAAAAAGAAUUAAGAAAAAGUUACCUUAGGGAUAACAGGGUAAUAUUUUUUGAGAGUUCAAAUCGAAAAAAAUGGUUACUACCUCGAUGUUGAAUUAAGGUAAAUUUUAAUAGAAGAAAAUUAAAAAAUUAGGUCUGUUCGACCUUUAAAACCUUACAUGAUUUGAGUUAAGACCGGCGAAAGCCAGGUUGGUUUCUAUCCUUUAAUCAAUUUUUUUUUUAGUACGAAAGGACCAAAAAAAAUAAUUUUAUUAAUUAAUUAAGAUGUUCAAUCAUAUAUUUUAAAAAUAUAAACUUAAAUUAAUUAUGUUAACCUAAAUAAUUUUA
rnacentral:rRNA from 1 species